AUACUUACCUGGAUGGGGUCAAUGGGUGAUCAAGAAGGCCCAUGGCCUAGGUUAGUGACCUCCAUUGCACUCAGGAGGGGUGCUCGCCUAAGGUCUACCCAACUGGUGGAGCCUACAUCAUAAUUUGUGACAGGGGGACUUGCGUUCGCGCAGUCCCCAC
rfam:Daucus carota subsp. sativus cultivar DH1 chromosome 2, whole genome shotgun sequence.